rnacentral:rRNA from 1 species
UUGCCAUGCCUAGUCGCACGGGUUCAGACCCGUGGCGAAUAGCUCCGUAACACGUGGCCAAACUACCCUAUGGAUCGGAAUAACCUCGGGAAACUGAGGCUAAUACCGAAUACCGCUCUCACGUUGGAAUUACAGAGAGCACGAAACGCUCCGGCGCCAUAGGAUGUGGCUGCGGCCGAUUAGGUAGACGGUGGGGUAACGGCCCACCGUGCCGAUAAUCGGUACGGGUUGUGAGAGCAAGAACCCGGAGACGGUAUCUGAAACAAGAUACCGGGCCCUACGGGGCGCAGCAGGCGCGAAACCUUUACACUGCACGAACGUGCGAUAAGGGGACUCCAAGUGCGAGGGCAUACAGUCCUCGCUUUUCCCUACCGUAAGGUGGUAGGUGAAUAAGAGCUGGGCAAGACCGGUGCCAGCCGCCGCGGUAAUACCGGCAGCUCGAGUGAUGGCCAAUAUUAUUGGGCCUAAAGCGUCCGUAGCUGGCCGAACAGGUCCGUCGGGAAAUCCGCUCGCUCAACGAGCGGACGUCCGGCGGAAACCAGUCGGCUUGGGACCGGAAGACCCGAGGGGUACGUCCGGGGGUAGGAGUGAAAUCCUGUAAUCCUGGACGGACCCCGGUGGCGAAAGC